GAGGGUCAGAGGGAGAAGCAGACCCCCCGCUGAGCAGGGAGCCCGAUGCGGGACUCGAUCCCGGGACUCCAGGAUCAUGACCUGAGCCGAAGGCAGCUGCUUAACCAACUGAGCCACCCAGGCGCCCGAGGCCAUAGUCUUUUUAAGACCUAACCUCAGAAGUGACAUCUCAUCUCUUCUGCCAUGUUCUCACUCCAGGGGAGGGGCGACCACUGGGGACCCUCUUAGAGGCUGCCACCGUCACCAUUAGGAAAUUCACAUGGAUGCGCUCUACCAUCUAGCCUCAGACCGCAGAGAUCCACCGGACGCCCCAGUGCUGUCCUUCUCAGGAAAAGGACCCAGGAUUCGUAUCCUGUGUCCUGCACUUCAUCCUCAUGGCCGUUUCUCCUUCAACCUGGAACAGUUUCUCUUUGUCUUUCUCCCUUUGACUUCAGUGACUUUGACAUUGUUGAAGUUGUUUCUUGAACGUUGCUCCAUGUGGGUUUGUCUGAUGUCUCCUAAAGGUGAGACGCAGGUUUUUGAAGGACUAUCCCAGCAGCGACACGGUGGUCUCCUCAGUACCUCCUGUCAGGGUGUGCGAGUUUCCGAAUGUCCCACUCCUGGCAGCUCCAUCAAGGUGGCGUCUGUAAGCUCCUGUCACAGUAAGUCACUUCUUUUACCUUUGAAAUUAGUGAUUAUAUGUGGGAAGGGUUUUUAAAACUAUGCAAAUGUCCCCUUCCUCGUCAACCUUGUUCACUAUUUAUAUCUGGAUAGACGCACGGCUUCCUCUUUUGCCCAGUGGACCGCAAGCUGUCACUCCCGUUACCUACCGAUGCUCACACCUUGCAGGGCUGGGAAUUUGAUUAAAUAGAUUUUGAUGCCCUGGAGCAUUAUGCUGGUAAAAAAUAUAUUUUUUAAAGAGUUUUUAAUGAAAUGGGAAUAUGCUCACAAUAUAAUGCUGAAUGGAAAAAGCAGGGUAGAAUAUAGAAUAUGAUUUCAGGAGUGUUAGUAAAACAGAGUGGAAGAAAGUCUACCAGGGCGCCUGGGUGGCUCAGUUGGGGAGUGUCUGCCUUCGGCUCAGGUCGUGAUCUCAGGGUCCUGGGAUCGAGCCCCGAGUCUGCUUCUCUCUCUCCCUCUGCUCCUCCUCCCCACUCAUACUCUCUCUCUUUCUCGCUUGCUCUCUCUCUCUCAAGUAAAUAAAUAAAGUAUUAAAAAAAAAAAAGAAAGUCUACCAAAAUGUUAAACAAGGCUAAACAGGGUUUAAAUCUGGAUUGUGGGAUUGUAGGUCACUUUUAUUUUCUUCUUUAUCUUUCUAUGUUUCCUGCAAUAAAUAAUAUUACUUAUAUUACUUACAAUAAAAGAUUACAAGACACAAUAUUACGUUUAGAAUAAGAGAAAACAUAAAAGUUUACAAAAAGAAUCUAACACUACAUAAUUUGUAAGUGCCACCAUCUUAGUGCCAAGCCAUUCCAAGCCCCCCACAGUGGUUUCUCUAUCUCCAGAUGCACAGAUCAUCCGAACCAUACCAGUUACUCUAACAACAUCCCCUUUGCCCCUUCAUGAGGAUGGCAUUUACAAAAGCACAAUAGAAUUAAGAGAAGAAGUGGCCAGAAGGGUGAGGUGCCCAGUGGGAAGUGAUGCGCAGAUGGACGACAACCUCAGGUGCAUGCCCUGCAGCAUGAAGAUGGACACAGAAAGGCCCGGAUUCACAUUCCUCCAACUUGACAACACCGGCUGAAAGUUGGCUCUAAAACUUUAAACCCAAUGAGAUACCGUUUAUACAUGUUAGAUCGUGGAAAUAUUCACUGCAGAACCAAGGCGAUGUGAUUCUAUCUAUAGAAAGAAGAAGGUGAUCCUAUGUCUGGAAACCCUCCGUGCUCACAGGGAAUGUUCUAAACACCGGACCUGCGGACUCUCUUACGCUUGAAUAAAUGGAAUCAUCCAGUAUGUGGGCAUUUGUGUCGGGCUUCUUUCACUUAACAUAAUGUUUCCAAGCAUGCAACAGUAAGUACCUCAUUUCUUGGAUGAAUGAUACUCCGUCGUGUGGAUAUAGCACCUUUUAUCUACUAAGCCGUUGACAGACAGCUGGGUGGUUUCUACCUUUAGCUGUUGUGAAGAGUGUUGCUAUGAACCUUUGCAAACAAGUAUCGCUUUGAGUCCCUACCUUCACUUCUUUGGGCGCAUACCUUGGAGUGGAAUUGCUGGGUCAGGUGGUAAUUCUAUGUUUCACUCGUCCAGGAACUGCCACACUGUUUCCCACAGUGGCUACACCAGUUGGCAUUCCCACCAGUGAUGCAGGAGGGUUCCAAUUUUUCCAUACCCUCUGUCCCUGCCAAUAACUUUUUUUUUUUUUAAGAUUUUAUUUAUUUAUUUGACAGAGAGAGACACAGCGAGAGAGGGAACACAGGCAGGGGGAGUGGGAGAGGGAGAAGCAGGCUUCCCAUGGAGCAGGGAGCCCAAUGCGGGGCUCGAUCCCAGGACCCUGGGAUCAUGACCUGAGCCGAAGGCAGACACUUAACGACGGAGCCACCCAGGCGCCCCCCUGCCAAUAACUUUUUAUUGUUUUUUUUUUUUAAGAUUUUAUUUAUUUAUUUGAGAGUGGGGGGGGAGAAGGAGAAGCAGACUCCCCACUGAGCAGGAAGCCCAGUGCUAGACUCGAUCCUAGGACCCUGAGAUCAUGACCUGAGCCAAAGUCAGAUGCUUAAACGACUGAGCCACCCAGGUGCCCCUAUUCUCUGGUUUUUGAUGACAGCCACUGUAUGUGGUGUGAAGCAGUAGCAUUUCCCUCGUGACUAAUGAUGCUGGAGCAUCUUUGCAUGUGCUUGCUGGUCAUCGUGCAUUUUCUUUGGAGUAAUAUCUAUUCAAGUCCUUUGCACAUCUUUGAAUUGGAUUGCUCGUCUUUCUGUUGUUUCAAAAUUUUUAAAAGUUAUUAUUUUGUUACAGAAACAUCUCCAUAUACAACUUUUUAAGUUCAGGUGCAGAGGGGUAGAUAUUCUGCAUUUUCGGGAACUUGUUUGAUGGGUUGGCUUUGUAUAGAACCCUGCAAUGAACACGACUUUUCCUUGGAACUUAAAAGCUGUGGCAGGCUGAAUAAUGGCCCCUCCAAAAUAUCCAGGUCCUAAUCCCUGGACCCUGCGAAUGCUACCUUGACUGGCAGAUGUGAUGAAGGCUCUUGAGAUGGGGACCGUCCAGGCAGGCCCUAAAAGUAAUCACAAGUGUCCUUACAAGAGGGAGGCAGUGGCGGGGGAGAGGGUUUUGUCUACAGAGGAAGAAGGCCAGGUGGCUGCUGAGACAAGAUACCACACCGCUGGCUUAGAAGAUGGAGGAAGGCACCAGGAGCCAAGGAAUCAUGGAAUGCAUUUCUAGAAGCUGGAGGACGCCGGGCAAAGGAACCGGUUCUCUGCUAGGGCUCCUGGACGGAGGUUGUCAGACGCCUUGACUUGCACCUGGUGAAGCUGAUUUUAGGGUUCUGACCUCCCGAACUGCAAGAGAAUACUUCUGUGUUGAUGUAAGUCCCCGAGUUUGUAGUGAUUUGUUACAGCGGCCACAGGAAGCUGAUACAGAAGCCCGGCUCCAUCUACAGCAUCCCGCAGUGGCUGACCCUGCUGGAUUUUCUGCUCUCUAGAAGCCUUUCACGUUUGCCCUUUAUCUGCAGAAGGCUGAAAUCUCACCAGGAAGUGUCUCGGUAGGUUUUCUUCACUCAUCUUGUGUGGCAUUGGAACUCUCUAGUCUUUGAGGUCAUGGCUACCCACCCCCAGCACCCUAAAUGCAGCCCUUUGAUAAACCACCUGGUGACGUUCCUGUCCCUGGGGCUGGCAUGGCGUCUGUGACACGGAGCCUGGAGCUUCUUUCAGCCUCCCAGGAAGUCCCUGGAAGUGGUGACCUCUGCUGUCUCGGACCACAAUAUCUGUCCAUUCACUGGUGCAUUUUUCUCUCUCUCUUUUUUACUUCGGACAUUUCGAAUCACUGUGACAGUAGAGACUAGUGCCGAGAGCUCCCAUACGUCCAUGAUCUGGAUGCAACAGCUGUCAGGGUUUUUCUUUUCCUCUCUUUGCUUUGCUCUCCCUUCCCCACCCUCCCCUUUGUUAAGUCAGCACCGUUUCUUUUUAAAAUCAAUUCUUCUCAAUAGUUAAUGUGCUAGCAGAUCGCCUGGGGAUCUUGUUAAAUGCCAGAUUUUGAUGUAGCAGGUCUGUGAUGGGGCCUGAGAACUGGCAUUGUGGACAAGUUCCUGGGUGAAGCUGAUGCUGCUGGUCCCUGCCAAUAACUUUACCUUUCCACCUGAGCACAUGGCGUGGGAUGUGAGGGAUCGGUGCACCUCUGAAAGAAUCAAAGAUGCAUGAGUGUAUUUUCCUGGUUUACAUGGAGUUCUAACUUUUUUCUUCUCCUGAAAUUAUAUCUGUUCCUUAAAGGCAGGGACAGUUUCAGCUCUUUCCCGUGAAUCAUAACUUUCUCGUAUGGAGCUUCUUCUCCUACCUUUUCACUACAGGACCUUCCCACUGACCUGAGAUUAAGAAAUUCUUCUCUUUAUCUGUACUCCUACAUUCACUGCAGUAUUAUUCACAGUGGCCAAGAUGUGGAAAUAACCCACAUGGCCGUCAACAGACGAACGGAUGAAGAAACUGUGCUCUAUCCGUAAAAUGCAAUAUUAUUCAGCCUUCAAAAAGAAGGGCAUCCUGCCAUUUGUGACAUGGUGAAACUGGAGGGCAUCGUGCUAAGUGAAAUAAGCUGGUCACAGGACAAGCAGUGCGUGGUUGCACUUCCGUGAGAUGAUCUAAAAUAGCCAAGCACAUAGAAGCAGAGAAGGGAGUGGUGGUUGCCAUGGCCGGGAGGAGGGCGGAAUGGGGGAUCAUUAUUCCAUUGGUAUAAAGUUACAGUUAUGCAAGAGGAGUAAGUUCCAAAGAUCGGCUGUACAACAUACUGCCUCUAAUCAUCAAUACUGUAUCGUGCACCAAAAGAUUUGUCAAGAGGGUAGAUCUCCUGUUAAGUGUUCUUACCUAAAAAACCCAAAACCCAAAACAAAAAACAAAAGGGACAGAAGGAAACUUUUACGAUGAUGGUUUCAUGGGUGUAUACACAUGUCCAAACUUGUCAAAUUGUAUACCCUAAAAAUGUGCAGGUUUUUGUGUAGCAGGCAUACCUCAAUGCAAGUGUUAAAAAAAGAGCUACUUCCCUUCUGACUGCCUUGCUCAAGCCGCCGGCUCGCUCUGCUCGGAUUCCCCAGCGCUGUGGCCCCGGACAGUGGCGGGAGCAGGGUUUAGGCAGCAGGGGACCUGGGCGAGGCUCUCAGGAGCCCCUUCUGUUAGCCACGAUUGCUUUGGUUUCUCAUCUACCCAACUUGGGAGCCAGCUGCCCUCAGGUUCCCCUCCACACUGCAAGAUCCAAGAUCCAACAACUCCGUGGUUGGUCUCCUUUCAACAGGUGGGGCUCGGGCUCGGGGAGAGAGCUGCCUCCAUCACAAAGGAGCUGAACCCAUCUCCUGGGAACGGGCUGUGCAAAUCCAGCCCUGAGAAGGCACAGCAAGAAUAUCUUCCCCCGAAUGAUGAGCAUCGUUGGGUCCUACUCAGGAUUUAAUGGCCCAUCCACAGAGCUCUGCCAGGCCCCUGGCAGGUGCAGAAGACAGGAAUGUUCCCUGACCUUGCAGAGCUGCCACCCGGCCUGAGGAGAAACAGAUUCUAAGUUUCUCUGCACCCGUGGGCAGCCAGGAGCUCCCGGCGGCCUCUGUGGCCUUCUCUGCAGUGCUGGAGACAUAAUGAUGCUUAGUAAAUAUUUGGUGAAUAAACCAGUGUGGUUUCACAUUCUUCUUCAAGAAAUGGUUUGGGACUUGUGAAAAAAUAUUGCUGAAUAAUUAAAAGAGACUAUUGUUCAAAACUCAGAGGAUGAUUAGACCUCUGAGGAGUGUUUUCUCUGGGUCCAGAAAGAAAUGUGAGAAUUUCAUUUGGACCCUGGAGUGAAUGCAAGGAGAUGGUGGCUUUUCUGAAAUUAGAGCAGAAAGCUAUGGGGGCGCCUGGGUGGC